UACGGGAGGCAGCAGUGGGGAAUAUUGCACAAUGGGCGAAAGCCUGAUGCAGCUAUGCCGCGUGUAUGAAGAAGGCCUUAGGGUUGUAAAGUACUUUCAUCGGGGAGGAAAAACAAAACUAAUAAUUUUAUUUCUUGACGUUACCCGAAAAAGAAGCACCGGCUAACUCCGUGCCAGCAGCCGCGGUAAUACGGAGGGUGCUAGCGUUAAUCAGAAUUACUGGGCGUAAAGAGCACGUAGGUGGUUUUUUUAAGUCAGAUGUGAAAUCCCCUGGGCUUAACCUAGGAACUGCAUUUUGAAACUGAAAUACUAGAGUAUCGUAGAGGGAGGUAGAAUUCUAGGUGUAGCGGUGAAAUGCGUAGAUAUCUGGAGGAAUACCUGUGGCGAAAGCGGCCUCCUAAACGAAUACUGACACUGAGGUGCGAAAGCGUGGGGAGCAAACAGGGAUUAGAUACC
rnacentral:rRNA from 1 species